rnacentral:rRNA from 1 species
UACGAAGGGGGCGAGCGUUGUUCGGAUUUACUGGGCGUAAAGGGCGCGCAGGCGGCGCAUUUUGUCAGGCGUGAAAGCCCCGGGCUUAACCUGGGAACUGCAUUUGUGACUGCAUGGCUGGAGUGCGGCAGAGGGGGAUGGAAUUCCGCGUGUAGCAGUGAAAUGCGUAGAUAUGCGGAGGAACACCGAUGGCGAAGGCAAUCCCCUGGGCCUGCACUGACGCUCAUGCACGAAAGCGUGGGGAGCAAACAGG